rnacentral:rRNA from 1 species
AAAAUGUAACAAGGUUUCCGUAGGUGAACCUGCGGAAGGAUCAUUAAAGAGUAAGGGUGCUCAGCGCCCGACCUCCAACCCUUUGUUGUUAAAACUACCUUGUUGCUUUGGCGGGACCGCUCGGUCUCGAGCCGCUGGGGAUUCGUCCCAGGCGAGCGCCCGCCAGAGUUAAACCAAACUCUUGUUAUUAAACCGGUCGUCUGAGUUAAAAUUUUGAAUAAAUCAAAACUUUCAACAACGGAUCUCUUGGUUCUCGCAUCGAUGAAGAACGCAGCGAAAUGCGAUAAGUAAUGUGAAUUGCAGAAUUCAGUGAAUCAUCGAAUCUUUGAACGCACAUUGCGCCCCUUGGUAUUCCGAGGGGCAUGCCUGUUCGAGCGUCAUUACACCACUCAAGCUAUGCUUGGUAUUGGGUGCCGUCCUUAGUUGGGCGCGCCUUAAAGACCUCGGCGAGGCCUCACCGGCUUUAGGCGUAGUAGAAUUUAUUCGAACGUCUGUCAAAGGAGAGGACUUCUGCCGACUGAAACCUUUUAUUUUUCUAGGUUGACCUCGGAUCAGGUAGGGAUACCCGCUGAACUUAAGCAUAUCAAA